rnacentral:rRNA from 1 species
GGGUACCUGCGGAAGGAUCAUUA